rnacentral:rRNA from 1 species
UGGGGAAUAUUGCACAAUGGGCGAAAGCCUGAUGCAGCAACGCCGCGUGAGUGAUGAAGGCCUUCGGGCUGUAAAGCUCUGUCUUUUGGGACGAUAAUGACGGUACCAAAGGAGGAAGCCACGGCUAACUACGUGCCAGCAGCCGCGGUAAUACGUAGGUGGCAAGCGUUGUCCGGAUUUACUGGGCGUAAAGGAUGCGUAGGCGGAUUUUUAAGUGAGAUGUGAAAUACCCGGGCUUAACUUGGGUGCUGCAUUUCAAACUGGGAAUCUAGAGUGCGGGAGAGGAGAAUGGAAUUCCUAGUGUAGCGGUGAAAUGCGUAGAGAUUAGGAAGAACACCAGUGGCGAAGGCGAUUCUCUGGACCGUAACUGACGCUGAGGCAUGAAAGCGUGGGUAGCAAACAGGAUUAGAUACCCUGGUAGUCCACGCCGUAAACGAUGAGUACUAGGUGUAGGAGGUAUCGACCCCUUCUGUGCCGCAGUUAACACAAUAAGUACUCCGCCUGGGAAGUACGAUCGCAAGA